UACGGGGGGGGCAAGCGUUGUUCGGAAUUACUGGGCGUAAAGGGCUCGUAGGUGGCCAACUAAGUCGGACGUGAAAUCCCUCAGCUUAACUGGGGAACUGCGUCCGAUACUGGAUGGCUUGAGUUUGGGAGAGGGAUGCGGAAUUCCAGGUGUAGCGGUGAAAUGCGUAGAUAUCUGGAGGAACACCGGUGGCGAAGGCGGCAUCCUGGACCAACACUGACACUGAGGGGCGAAAGCCAGGGGAGCAAACGGG
rnacentral:rRNA from 1 species